UCGAUCGGUAACAGGUGUAGCAAUACAUGCUGACGAGAGGCGGACGGGUGAGGAACGCUUGGGAAUCUGCCUAUCAGCGGGGGACAACCCGGGGAAACUCGGGCUAAUACCGCAUACGCUCUACGGAGGAAAGCCGGGGACCGCAAGGCCUGGCACUGAUAGAUGAGCCCAAGUCGGAUUAGCUAGUUGGCGGGGUAACGGCCCACCAAGGCGACGAUCCGUAGCUGGUCUGAGAGGACGAUCAGCCACACCGGAACUGAGACACGGUCCGGACUCCUACGGGAGGCAGCAGUGGGGAAUAUUGGACAAUGGGGGAAACCCUGAUCCAGCGACGCCGCGUGGGUGAAGAAGGCCUGCGGGUUGUAAAGCCCUUUCGGUAGGGACGAAAACUCUUGAUCUAACAAAUCAGGAGCUUGACUUAACCUACAUAAGAAGCACCGGCUAACUCUGUGCCAGCAGCCGCGGUAAUACAGAGGGUGCGAGCGUUAAUCGGAAUUACUGGGCGUAAAGCGCACGUAGGCGGCUUUGUAAGUCGGAUGUGAAAUCCCCGGGCUCAACCUGGGAACUGCACCCGAAACUACAUUGCUAGAGUAUGGGAGAGGGGAGGCGGAAUUUCCGGUGUAGCAGUGAAAUGCGUAGAUAUCGGAAGGAACAUCAGUGGCGAAGGCGGCCUCCUGGACCAAUACUGACGCUCAGGUGCGAAAGCGUGGGGAGCAAACAGGAUUAGAUACCCUGGUAGUCCCGCCCUAACGAUGAAACUGGAUGUCGGGAGGGUUUGCCUNCNGGGNCGUANCUAACGCGAAUAANUCCC
rnacentral:rRNA from 1 species